GGGUGGGUGACCCAGGACAAUGAAGCAGCCUGGGGACUGGAUGCUCCUCCUCCUUUGAUGGUUAAGAACACGUGACAGUGCUCAGGAACUGGGGAGAGGCCUCCUGGCGUGAAUGAGAGCACAGAGACACUGGAGGGGCUCUGGAGUCAGCACACCAAGCGAGCGGCACCUCACGCCUCCGAACCUCAGUUUCUUCCCCAGCAGAAUAAGACUCUGACGCCUGCCUGGAGGAAAGUGGGGAGUUUCUUCCUGUGAUGAACCAAUGGCUGAGCCCUCUGAGGACUCCCUGAAUCCUCUCCUGGAAGAAUUCUGGAAAAAGGGGGUCUCCUGAGGCAGGUGGGGAUGUCCUUGGCCAAAGGAAGGGAGGACUGAGGAUUUCCUAGGAUCUCACCUGUCGGUUAUUUCUGCAGCCCAGCCCUCCUCUCAUUCUGAUGGGUCCUGGUGAAGCUGUCAAUCCAGGUGGGCCUGUGGGCACCUGGCUGGGAUAAGCCAAUCAGAGCCUGCACUCAUUCCUGCAGCAGCAGUGGUGGGCUUGUGACCAGGCAAAGCCACUCCCAUCCCUGUGGAACGCAAGCUGCAGGUGGGCAGGGACUUGUCCAGUGGCAGGGUUCUGAAUAUACUCACUGGUUUCUCAGGCGAAUCUGAUGGAGUCAGUCGCCAGGCGCGUGGUGCUGCCGUGGGGCUGACCUCAGGGACCUGGGCUACGACUGGCCAAGCAGGAUCUUGUGUAUGUUAGAAAUGGGGGACUCCUCCUGGCAGAUGAAUUAGGGAAAUGUCCCUCUGGGUCAAAACUUCCUUGUACCAGGGCACGAAGGGUGACAAGCAGAGCCCUGGGGAUGUUUCAGCUCCUACUCUGCCUCUCAGUGGGGGCCUUGGAGUAGUGCCCAGACGCCAACAAUGUCUCAAAAUUAAAAUGUCUCAAAAUUAAAAAAUAAAAAGGGCUGAGGAUGUGGCUCAGUGGUUAAGCGCCCCUGGGUUCCAUCCCUGGUACAAAAACAAACACACAAACAAAAACCUCUGCAGUCUAUAGGAUCGGGGCUCACCUUCAAAGAACGAGACCUGAUUCUAGAUCUAACAUCUAUUCUCCGAGACGGCCGGGCUGGGUUUGGAUCCAGCUCAUCACUUACCACCUCUGUUAUCUGGGGCAGUUACCUAACGCCCUGGGCCUCAGCUUUCUCGAUGGAGAAUGGGGACAGUGGCAGGACCUGCUCCAAGAGAUCAUAAGCACACGAGGACCAGCAUGAUUAGUGUGUGAAGGCAGCGAGUCUCGUGGUGUGGAGUCAUAACUUCCAGGUGCUCUUGAGGAAGUCCUUCUCCUCUGGAGAAUGGGAAUAGGAGUCCCGAGUGCAGAAGGCUGCUAGGAGGGCCAGGUGAGGUGGCUGGCAGGCGGGCGGCGUUCAGUGUUAGAUGAACCUAAAGCUUCCUUUGUUUCUCUGGAACCUUUGAGCUCAGUUCUCCUCCUGCCAGAGCCCAGUGGAGACAGGCCAUCACUUCAGCUAGAAGCCGGACCAGGAGGAAAUAAAUCCUCGUGCAUAUGAUUCCUGAGUGAAAGUCCCCUGGGAUGCUGCUGGCGAGGGGCCCACGAUGCACUACAGGGGCUCACUUCCUGCUGCCUCCCGCCUGCUCCCUGCUCCUGGCUUGCUCGCUCCCAGGGGACAAGGCAAGGGGAGUGGAAAGGAAAUUGAAAAGGCUUUGAUUUGCUGGGAGCCUGUCUGGCUGGGGAACCACUGAGUCCUAAAGCCCAGGCUGCCACUCCUGGUUCUGUGGGUCUUCUCUGCUGAUCCUGUAGUUAGUCUGGGGAGCAUUUGGGGCAUCCCUGGGGGACGGUCUCAGGAGGAUGAGAAGGCCAGGUGGGAGCACUGAGGCAGGCAGCAACGCAGAGGGAACCACCCCAGUGGACCCCUAAUCUGGAGGAGCAGCGGGGUCCCACCUGACCCUGACCUCCUGUCCUGACACAGCCUCUGGGCUCCCCUUGGGCUCCCCAGUGCAAGCCACAAUCCACAGCCAGCCAGCCCGGCCCAUGACAGCCUUGUAACUGCAGCACAGGACCCGGAGGAGCGAGUUUCCCCAUCUUUAAAAUGGGAAUAAGCCAUGUUGGCCAAGUCUACCUAGGAGAGAGCAUGAAGGACAUCCAGAUGCGGACGCCAACCAGGAACCUGUUUGCUGUCAUAAAAGCAGACUCCUGGCUUGGAGGUGCCUGGGAAGGGGAGGGCCUCUGGUGGCGUCCCAGUCCCAGGAGGCUUCCUCUCCAGCUCCUGCUGCAGUUUCCAUCCGAGCACAUCACUCUUGGCCCAGCACCGGUGUCAGCUCGGCAUGGAGAGGAGAGCCAAGCGCCCCGGUAGCUGCUGGGAAAUCCUAUAAGAGCGCUUCUCCAUUUCCCUAAUUUUCAGAGAUGGAGACCUCCGCUUCCAGCCUAAAUCUACUUCCUAGGACUUGAGCCGUCACCGAUGUGCAGCUAAUGGAAGGGUUAGGAGUGCGGAGUGUUGAUAAGCCCCCCCUGCUGCCGCUCCAGCUGCAGAGCCGCGGGCCUUUGAAGCAGAGCAGGACCCUCUAAGGCGGAUCACUUACCACCUCCCCUCCUGGAGGGGGAAGGAAGCCGGCCACCGCCUCCUCCUCCCCACGCACCCCUCCUGCUUCCAGCUGUCCUUCAGGGAGACGGGGAGGUGGGGUCCAGGCUGGCACACGCUUCCAGAAGUCCCACAAGAAGGAGGCCUGGACGUGAUGGUGACGAGGGAUGCACAACAGAGGGACGGUGCCGAGGGCCCCUAAAUGUACUCUUACCAGGGGCUAAAAUGACACUUUGUUAUGUACACAUUAACAUCUUUGAUAAUUUUUAAAAUUAAAACAAAGAAGACCGGGCUGGGGAUGUGGCUCAAGCGGUAACGCGCUCGCCUGGCAUGCAC